rnacentral:tRNA from 1 species
GGGGCUGUAGCUCAGUGGUAGAGCGCCCGCCUCACUCUUAUGAGGCACUGGGUUCAAUCCUCAGCACCCCA